ACAUAUUCUGGAGCUUCAUUCAUUUAAAUAAAUUUAUUUAAAUUACUUUUAAGUCUAUAUUAAUAUUAUUUAAUAAUAUUAUGUUUGAAAUAUUUAACUAAACCCAUAAACUCUUUUUCAUUCAUUGCACCUUGAUCUAAUUUCAUUUAGUAAAAUUUUUGAUGGUAUUUUAUAAAAUACUUCUUAAAAUGACGAUAUACAAAUUAAUAAUAGAAAAAGUUGGAUUAUAUCGUGGAUUGUCGUUUAUUUUACAGGUUUCCCUAAUUAGAUUCAGAAUACCGUCAUAUUUUUUGGGUUUCA
rnacentral:rRNA from 1 species